GCGGGGAUGGCCAAGCGGCAAGGCGCCGGGCUUUGAACUCGGAGAGCGUGGGUUCGAUCCCCACUCCCCGUU
rnacentral:tRNA from 1 species